GUUUCUAUCUCUCUCCCUCUCCCUUUCUCUCCGAAAGGAAAAAAAUAUAUAUAUACAAAAAAAAAAAAUAGGCAGUCACACACAUCAAAACAUAUGAUUCUUGCCGACAGGGUCUGUAUAGUUAUCAGAUUUCCUGUGCGAUGGCUCCAUACAUG
rnacentral:snoRNA from 1 species